UUAAAGUUAAUUUUUUAUAUUCAAUAUUUUUAUAUUCGUCGAAUGUUUAUGCAUAUCGGAAAAUUCUUGAAAGUAUUCUGAAUGAAAUUCGUAUAUAGUCAUAAGAAGUAUUUAUAUAUCUUAUACUUUGUAGAAAGAUAGAAACGAAUUGUCUGAAAAACGUCGAAGUUCAUUCGACGUUCGAUUUCAAGGAAACGACUUUCCCUCGAGCGUGUUCCUUGGCAUCCUUUUUCACGAGGACAAGAGGGUGUAAAGCGUAAAGAAACAAAGUUUCAAAGGAGUAUCUACUUUGAAUUCUCACGCAGCAUCUCAAAGAACAAACCGCAAGGCGCAAACCGAAAGUGCAUGCGCGUGUUCACUCGCGCAAGGAGAGAUACGACCAACUCGAAGUGAAUUUGCUUGUAAUAAUGUAUAUACCUGGUACCAGAGACCUAGGUACCUUCCUAAACUAUGUAAAGAUGCACGUAGAGUAGCUGAAGGUACACUCGUAUUCCUAAGUCUAUAAAUCGCAAAGGAUUUUCGGAAGUCUGAAGAGAAACGUAUAGAUCUACUUUGUAGUUUCUACUUUCGGAGUAAUCCACGACGACGGAGAGAGUGCCAAUUUGCAUCAGAAUAUUAAAUGUACCUCGAAGCAAACUAAUUUGAUGACCCUUGAACAACAAAAGUAGAAAGAAAAAAAUGAGUGCAGGAUCAUUAUCUAAUUGCGACGUUCAGUGAAAAAUUGGGCUGACAUGAGCGUUCGUUAAAGGGGUCACAGAACGGUCGAAGAUCCUAUGCUAUUAUAAUUUAUUUAGAUUAGUUAAAGUAGUUGAACUUCCCGUUUAAACGAUGAUCAUGUACUCGUGUUGUUCUCCUUAUAUCGCGACCGAGUGCGAACUUCAUGAAUAUAUUCACUUAUUUAUUUUACUUUUGUUCUACAUUUAUAUUCCUUUUUUGUACAUAGUACGUAAAAGAUACGAUGUAAUGUAUUUGAUAAAAGUCACGUAGCAAAGGCUUAUUUAAAAAAACAAAUCAAAUGAGACUUCGGCAAUGCCAAAGUCCGAUAAGAUCGUUUUGUUUUUGUCGAUAAGACACAUAUGUACAAGAAUUCAUGCGGAACUAACAUAUUUAUUUUCUUUUUAAUGAAACGUUUUUCUUAUCAAAUCAGAUAAAACAAGUUAAACUUACUUAAGUUUAGUAAUAACGAGUAAAGAAAAAAAAAAAAAAAAAAAAAAAAGAAAAAAGAAAAAACAAAACAA